UGGCCCUCCAGCUGUUUGGGACUACAGUUCCCAUCAUCUUUGACCACUGGUCCUGUUAGCUAGGGAUAAUGGGAGUUGUAGUCCCAAAACAGCUGGAGGGCCA